rnacentral:misc_RNA from 1 species
UUUCCGUAGGUGAACCUGCGGAAGGAUCAUUACAGAGUUCAUGCCCUCACGGGUAGAUCUCCCACCCUUGAAUAUUUAUACCUUAGUUGCUUUGGCAGGCCGUGGAAACACCAUGGGCUCCGGCUUAUGCGUGCCUGCCAGAGGAAACAAACUCUGUUUUUAGUGUUGUCUGAGUACUAUAUAAUAGUUAAAACUUUCAACAACGGAUCUCUUGGUUCUG